UACGGAGGGGGCUAGCGUUGUUCGGAAUUACUGGGCGUAAAGCGCACGUAGGCGGAUUGGAAAGUCAGAGGUGAAAUCCCCGGGCUCAACCUUGGAACUGCCUUUGAAACUCCCAGUCUUGAGUUCGAGAGAGGUGAGUGGAAUUCCGAGUGUAGAGGUGAAAUUCGUAGAUAUUCGGAGGAACACCAGUGGCGAAGGCGGCGUCCUGGCCUGCGACUGACGCUGUGGCGCGAAAGCUAGGGGAGCGAACGGG
rnacentral:rRNA from 1 species